UACCGAUAAAAGCUACUUUCGCAUGAAAGAAGUUUAAAAGGCGGCGUAAAGCUGUCGCUAAAAGGGAUGGGACCUGCGAUGCAUUAGCUAGUUGGUAAGGUAACAGGCUUACCAAGGCGAUGAUGCAUAGCCCGAGUUGAGAGACUGAUCGGGCCACAUUGGGACUGAGACACGGGCCCAAACUCCUACGGGAGGCAGCAGUAGGGGAAUCUUCCACAAUGGACGAAAAGUCUGAUGGAGCAAACGCCGCGUGAGUGAAGAAGGUUUUCGGAUCGUAAAAAGCUCUGUUGUUGGUGAAGAAGGAUAGAGGUAGUAACUGGCCCUUUAUUUGACGGUAAUCAACCCAGAAAGUCACGGGCUAACUACGUGCCCAGCAGCCGCGGUAAAU
rnacentral:rRNA from 1 species